rnacentral:lncRNA from 1 species
CAGGGGGAAAGAAAGUCAUGGGGCGUAAAGCUCUCACUUGAAAAAGUCUGGAGAAUAAUUAGCAGCAGCAGCAGCAGCGCCCACUGGACAGUCCUGGGAUGCAACAACGGGUGAGGCACAGCCUGCUGCUAACUUUGACCAAACUGCCCCAUUUCCACCAGAGAGAGCAUUGAUUUCUGGUUUCUGGGUCACCUGGAUGCUUGCCCCCCCCCCCCCCCCCCAUCAAUUCAUUUGAUCCAGAAAGGUUUGAAGAAAGGAAAAAAAAACUUUGAUUGAUGCUUAACACAAACAAAAGGGGAACACUUUCGUACAAACAUUAGGUUUAAAAUGACUCUUUUUACAGCAGAAAAUUCAAGAUUGCAAAUGAUUUUUUUAUUUAUUUAAGCGCAUCACUUACUUAUGUUUAGAGAAAAAUCAUUCCGCCAACAGAAAGAAAGCCAUAAAAAGCUGGAUAUUUCUGCAGCGACUCAACAAAUGAGCUUAAUGUCGCAAAUGUAGGCCGAAACACUAAGGACUGAUUUAGUGCGCGUGCAGCUUCAAAGUCUCCUCAGAGUACGCGCGCGCGUGAGUUUAAAUGGGGUGGGGGUGGGGGGCUCCCUGCCUUGUCUACCUUAUGGCUACAGUAGCAGCAGCAGCAGCUAGCUCUCUAGCUUAGCUAGCUAAAUGUGCGCCGGCUCUACGUUUUCGCAUCGCUCGCGCCUUUCGCCAGCCGCGGCGGCCGGCGUCGCACACAGACAUCGUCCCGUCCGCUCGGUGGACACACGAGAGCUGCCGGUGUCCACCACAAAGCGAACUUCACGGGGAGAAAUCCCUCCGUGCUCCCUCAGUCGUGUCCUCUCCUUCUGGAUCGGUUGCUGUUCAGUUGCUGCAGCAUGAUGGACAGUUCCUGCAUCCCCACUUUGUUGUAAUGAGGAUGGUCCCCAACUGGUGUGCUGCACCUGGCUGGCUAUGUGGAUAUCCACGUGGGGAGGUCCCAAUUAUUAGCGUUUCCACCAACAACAUGUUUUUUUCCGUGCUCGGCCUGUUUCCCGAUGUUCAUCUGCAUUGGUUAAGGGGGUGGGACGUGUGAGAGAGAAUUGAAGGUUGUGUGUGGGUAUGUGUGUGUGGGGGGGUAUUACUGUUAUUAUAAGUAUAAUAACACUGAAAAGUGUUUGAAUAUAAGCAAAGUGGAAGGAAAUGUCACUGCUUCAUAGUCCCACCAGUGAGAAUGAUCCCUACAGAGACUAAUGAAGAGAAAUUAUUUAGCAAAACUGAGCAAAGUAUAGGAGAGAAACUGAUUUUUCCUUUUCUUAUAGUAAUUCUUUUUCUUUUCUAAACUUGAUUUCUCUUGCCUCUGUCUUUUGCCUUGUCUCUUUCCUCCCCUUUAUGCCUUUCCCUUCUCGCUAACUGUUAGAAGUUAUGGUUUGUGGCUGGUGAGUUGACAACGCUACAGCAGAGGGCAAGAUAAGACUGUGACCUUUCUGCCCGAAGAGGAUGAAAUGAAUAAAUUUACUCCCCAUGUGAUGGGAGGCUGGAGCAGUGGAGUAGAGGCAGAUGAGUGAGAUGAGGGGGCGGAGUGUGCUGUCCCUUGCUACUUGGUGCCCUGACCACAUCUGCUGGAUCUAUUCUCUCCCACCCCCAAGGACAAUUAUUGGAUGAUGUCCCAAAAUGAAGGCCUCUUGCAGUAAGGUCACAAUUUAUCUGCCUGCAUAAAUUUGUGUGCACAUGUGAAAAGAAGGGAGGGAGUGUGCGGAAAAACAACACAUUAAUGCAUUAAUGUUAACCACUUUGUUUACUGUGGUGCUGGGAUUUUUAUGAUUUUUGUCCAGUUGAUAAAUUAAUUAAUCAUGAUCUGUAAUUCAUUCAUUCAUUCAUUCAUUCAUUCAUUCAUUCAUUCAUUCAUUCAUUCAUUCAUUCAUUCAUUCAUUCAUUCAUUUUCUUAACCGUUUUUCCCUUUCGGGGUCACGGGGCUGCCGGAGCCUAUCCUAGCCUCUUCUGUAUCUGUAUCUGGAUCUGUAAUUAAUUAAUCAAAUUAUUCAAUUUUCAAAGCCUCAUUUUGAGGUAUUUUCAUUUUAAUUUGUGACAUUGUAGCACUGUAAAAGACCAAAUUAGCACUAAAUAAGUGGCUUUGUGAAUCUUUUUUAUUAUAACAACCUUUCAACCUUUACUUUUACACCAACAAGGGGGAAUCUUUUCAAUUGCAAACAAUUGAGAAAAACUAAAAGAAAAAAAAAAUCAGGUCCAGAGUGCUCCAAUUUAAUCAACAGAAAAACACUUUGAAGUUUUCUGAGCCAUACAAAAAAUAUUGACUGCAAACUUCUUAUAUUCAUGUUGUCAUAAUGUAAAAGUUAAACUCCUAUUAGUCAUCACACUCCUAGGUGUUUGUAUCACCUAAUAUGACAUGUAGAAUAUAUAGGCUUCCACUUUCCUUUGUAGCAAUGCAAGGUGAGUGCAGGCUCUGUUGCUGUUACCAUGAAAACACUUCGCAAAGCAUAUCCAAUAGUCUAUUUUUUGUGAAAAACAAUUCAAACGUAGAAAUAUAACAAAAUUAAAGUACAUAUAAUUAAUUUAAUAUUUAUUUCUUUUGUAGGUGACCAUGGUCUUAUAAUGCCCCUUCAAGGUGUCCAUUAUCAUAAAUGAAUAAACUUUGCAGAAGUAACCAUCCAAUGCGAUCAGCCCUCCGUGUACCCCAUUCAUUUAUGAUAACAAACACCUCGUCUGGCUUUAACUCUUACAUAAUAGAUAAUAGUGUCAUGUUAUGGCUUUCUUUUGGGUAAUUUCUGUUAAUACCUACAGAGUCGCACAUUGAUGACAUCACAGCAGCAAAGGGCACGCAGUGCAAACAGGUACACCAAGACUUCAAAUAAAACAUUUAUGCAAGUAAACAGUUGCCUUGUUUUAUAUUUGAGAUUGCAACAAUAGUCUCAGACUAAAAAUGAGAUUAAUAUGAUUUUUAAAAAGGGCUAAUAGGUCCGUAAUUAAUUAAUUGCAAUUAAUACCAUAAUUUGACACCCAUAGUAUCACAUAAGGAGAAAAACAGACAUAUCUGUACAACACGCCCGCAUCUCACCUAUUGUCUCACCCGUACUUCCCCUGCAUGAUGCAUUAGUGUUUGCUGUGACCUGUUGCCUGCAGCAUGUCUGUAUGAUAAAAAGGUAAAUGAUCGUUUUUUCUCCAUGGGGUCACUGAGCAAUC